rnacentral:rRNA from 1 species
GACGAACGCUGGCGGCGUGCCUAAUACAUGCAAGUAGAACGCUGAAGGAGGAGCUUGCUUCUCUGGAUGAGUUGCGAACGGGUGAGUAACGCGUAGGUAACCUGCCUGGUAGCGGGGGAUAGCUAUUGGAAACGAUAGCUAAUACCGCAUAAUAGUAGAUGUCGCAUGACAUUUGCUUAAAAGGUGCAAUUGCAUCACUACCAGAUGGACCUGCGUUGUAUUAGCUAGUUGGUGAGGUAACGGCUCACCAAGGCAACGAUACAUAGCCGACCUGAGAGGGUGAUCGGCCACACUGGGACUGAGACACGGCCCAGACUCCUACGGGAGGCAGCAGUAGGGAAUCUUCGGCAAUGGACGGAAGUCUGACCGAGCAACGCCGCGUGAGUGAAGAAGGUUUUCGGAUCGUAAAGCUCUGUUGUAAGAGAAGAACGAGUGUGAGAGUGGAAAGUUCACACUGUGACGGUAUCUUACCAGAAAGGGACGGCUAACUACGUG